UACGAAGGGGGCUAGCGUUGUUCGGAAUUACUGGGCGUAAAGCGCGCGCAGGCGGUCUUCCAAGUCAGUGGUGAAAGCCCGGAGCUCAACUCCGGAACUGCCAUUGAAACUGUGAGACUUGAGGAUGAGAGAGGUGAGUGGAAUUCCCAGUGUAGAGGUGAAAUUCGUAGAUAUUGGGAAGAACACCUGUGGCGAAGGCGGCUCACUGGCUCAUUUCUGACGCUCAGGCGCGACAGCGUGGGGAUCGAAACAGG
rnacentral:rRNA from 1 species